rnacentral:rRNA from 1 species
AGCUCCAAUAGCGUAUAUUUAAGUUGUUGCAGUUAAAAAGCUCGUAGUUGGAUUUCGGUUGAGAACGGCCGGUCCGCCGUUUGGUGUGCACUGGCUGGUCUCAACUUCCUGUAGAGGACGCGCUCUGGGUUAACGCUCGGACGCGGAGUCUACGUGGUUACUUUGAAAAAAUUAGAGUGUUCAAAGCGGGCUUACGCUUGAAUAUUUCAGCAUGGAAUAACACUAUAGGACUCCUGUCCUAUUUCGUUGGUCUCGGGACGGGAGUAAUGAUUAAGAGGAACAGUUGGGGGCAUUCGUAUUUCAUUGUCAGAGGUGAAAUUCUUGGAUUUAUGAAAGACGAACUUCUGCGAAAGCAUUUGCCAAGGAUGUUUUCAUUA